rnacentral:lncRNA from 1 species
CAUCACUAAUGAGACUAGUGAGAAGAUAAAGAAGAGUGCAACAGAAACUCAGAGAGAGAUUGUUUUGUACUGGAAGGGACUUGUGGGUGGCAAGAAACAUGGAGCAUGCUAGGCUUACCAAAUCUUGGAUUUUGAUAACCUUGUUGAGAGUGAACUGCUUUCAUAUUUAUGUGCAUAUGUGUGUUUGUGAUGGCUAUGUAGCAAUAAGAAAUGGCAAUGCAUGACAGAUUCUUACAAUCAUUUGUGUUCUUGUCUGAUAAAAUUUUCUCUCUCUGGUUUUUGAGGUGGUAAUUUUCUAUAUCUGUUCUUACCAGACUUAGAUACACUUUUUAUGAAUGAUAUUUGUUCUUUUAUACUAUUAAAAUUAGA